rnacentral:rRNA from 1 species
UACGUAGGGGGCCAGCGUUGCUCGGAAUUACUGGGGGUAAAGGGUUCGUAGGCGGUGUGGCAAGUCGGGAGUGAAAUCUCUGGGCUCAACCCAGAGUCUGCUUCCGAAACUGCUGUGCUUGAGUGUGGGAGAGGCGCGUGGAAUUGCAGGUGUAGCGGUGAAAUGCGUAGAUAUCUGCAGGAACACCCGUGGCGAAAGCGGCGCGCUGGACCACUACUGACGCUGAGGAACGAAAGCUAGGGGAGCAAACAGG